rnacentral:misc_RNA from 1 species
AAAAAUUCAAAUAUCAUUUCCAACGCUGAUCUCAUUUAAUUGUGAAGUUCCAUUCAAACUUUUCACCUAUUAAAUUUAUUUGAUUUGACUAGUAGAGACUUUUAAACGCCUUUGAUAGCAGAACAUUUUACUACUAAGAUUUGGCUGAACUUAGAUGACCAGAAGAAGAAAUUAAGAUGAUAAAGUGUUGAAAACUACAGAAGAAAAAUCUUGAUGAGAUUUCAGGACAAUGCUUCUUAUUAGAUAUCAAGCUGCGUAACGCUCAUACACUCAUUACCUUAUUUCAUUAACCUCUUA